rnacentral:rRNA from 1 species
UACGUAGGGGGCUAGCGUUGUCCGGAAUCAUUGGGCGUAAAGCGCGUGUAGGCGGUCCGGUAAGUCCGCUGUGAAAGUCGGGGGCUCAACCCUCGAAUGCCGGUGGAUACUGUCGGGCUAGAGUGCGGAAGAGGCGAGUGGAAUUCCUGGUGUAGCGGUGAAAUGUGCAGAUAUCAGGAGGAACACCGGUGGCGAAGGCGGCUUGCUGGGCCGAUACUGACGCUGAGGAGCGAAAGCGUGGGGAGCGAACAGG